GACGGGUGCGUAACGCGUAUGCAACCUGCCUGACACAGGGGGAUAAUCCGAAGAAAUUUGGUCUAAUACCCCAUAAUACCGAUAUAGGCAUCUAUGUUGGUUGAAAGCUUUGGUGGUGUCAGAUGGGCAUGCGUUGUAUUAGCUAGUUGGUGAGGUAACGGCUCACCAAGGCGACGAUACAUAGGGGGACUGAGAGGUUAACCCCCACACUGGUACUGAGACACGGACCAGACUCCUACGGGAGGCAGCAUG
rnacentral:rRNA from 1 species